UUUCCGUAGGUGAACCUGCGGAUGGAUCAUUAUUGUAUAACCGAGGUGCGAGGGCUGUCGCUGACCCGAAAGGUCGUGCACGCCCGAGUGCACUCACACACAUCCAUCUCACCCCUAUGUCCACCACCGCGUGGGUCCCCCUUUGGCUUGUUCGGAGGGGGGCUUACGUUUUCACACAAACUUUGUAUGCAGUGUAGAAUGUAUUUUUUGUUUUUGCGAUCACGCAAUCAAUACAACUUUCAACAACGGAUCUCUUGGCUCUC
rnacentral:misc_RNA from 1 species